rnacentral:rRNA from 1 species
UGUAUGAAUGGAAUCACGGGGUUUAGCUGUCUCUUAACUAAUUUAUCGAAGUUACUAUUUAGGUGAAAAAGCCUGAAGAAAGAAAAAGGACGAGAAGACCCUUAGAGUUUUUCUAAAAUUAGGAUUAUUCCUAAAACAGUUUAGUUGGGGCAACAUAGGAGCAUAUUUAACCUCCUGUAAUAUACUUACCGAUAAUAAUAAAUAUGAAUAAACUACCUUAGGGAUAACAGCAUAAUUUUAUAAAUAAGUUUGUGACCU